GUGAAAGUGUUCAGGUGCUAGCAAAAGAAAUGGAAGCGAUUCUUAUGCAGAGGGACAGUUGUCCCAACUCGAAGGAAGUGCCAUUGCAUACAUGCAUUCAAAAUGCGCUGACGUGCUACUCCAAAUGUCAAAGGGAAUCCUUUUCGGGGCUCCUGGAGGCAGGCAUUAAAAAGUGCAAAACUCCAUUCUAAUCCUACAAAAAUGAUCUAAUCAGGGCAAAUGUCCUGCUGGCGGCCUGUUAUACACAUAACCAACAAAGAGCAGGCUAAACUACGCAGAGCUCUACAGGACAAGCUUGUAAAUAUUUUCAAGGCACUGGAGGGCUACAAGGGAUCUUGAGAUCGUGAGAAGAAAAAAUAAUGAUGAACUAGUUCUGUGGACUCAAAAGUGUUGGUGAAUGCGAUGUAUCGAUAGAAACGAACAGUGCUCAGCAACGUCGCACUAAAUGUCAACGUGCUUAGUGUCAUGUGAUCAAAUGUUCUUUCCAUUUCCGCAGCCGACCUGUUCAGUUCGCUUAUCUGAAAGAAAUUUUCUCUGAUUUCUUUUGGAAGAAAGAAGUAAGCUUCUUAACCAUGUAACCCAGGAACGCCAACGAACCCACCAUCUUUCGUUUUGUAUGGGCCAAUAAACGCCAUGUCACCGUCUGCUUGAUGAAGUUGGUAGUUUCGGGAGCGAUGUCGAUAUGGGCCUUAGACAGAGUGUUCGCGGAGGAGAUUGUAUUCCUGAUACUGCGCUUCAGUGGGCAGGAAAUAUUUUGUCCAGCCACUGGAGCACACUACUGAUGAUCUUGGCCGUCACCUGGAGCCAUUCGAUUGCAUCGAGUGGCUGCAGAUGACGGGCAAGAAGAUCCAUACCUCGGAGCUGGUGGAGGAGCAUCAUAUAGCGCCAACAUUGUGAAAGCUAGUAAGAUGCCGAAUGUCAGUAGGGUUGUCCAGUGGCUGCACAAAAAAUUUCCCGACCACUGAAACGGAAGCAAGUUUACUAUCUCCCCCCCGACCACACUGUCCAAGUUUCAUAUUGGCAUCGCUACCGAAACUAGAAACAUCAUCAAGUAGACGAUUGUAUGGCUUUUAUUGGCCCAUAUGAAGCGAAAUUCGUUGAAGAUCCUGGGCGUCAUUGGUAGUCAAGGAAUUCGCCCUGAUAGUAUCAACCAGCACAUCUCCAGAGGCAGAUGGCCUGUUUGUCGGCAUCCACAGACAGAAGUCGAACCAUUUUCUGGCCCUGAUCGGACGUAGAUGCUUGGCCUUACUACAUAGGAUCCCUGGACUUCUUCAAGUGUGUCCUGAGGCGCCCCCUCAGGGUCCUGGUUUUGGGUGUCCAGCGCUUCAUUGAGAAGGCUCUGGACGAGAAUAGCCGCUGUCAGAAUUUCUUGGAAUGGCCAUCCUGAGGCCGAAUCAACGCCACCCACAUCUUUAUAAGGACGACAUAACAAACCUGCCUCGAAACCAAUA